UGGUGGGUUGCCUUGUCAGGUUGAUUCCGGUAACGAACGAGACCUCAGCCUGCUAAAUAGUCCGUCCCACUUCGGUGGUUCGCCGACUUCUUAGAGGGACUAUCUGCGUCUAGCAGACGGAAGCAUGAGGCAAUAACA
rnacentral:rRNA from 1 species